rnacentral:ncRNA from 2 species
AUUAGUCUUCAGGGCGGGGUGAAAUUCCCCACCGGCGGUUAUAGCCCGCGAGCCUUAAAUAGGUAUGAUUCGGUGUAAUUCCGAAGCCGACAGUAAAGUCUGGAUGGAAGAAGAUAAAG